CUUGAGACAGGUGGGACAUGUCAUUUCUCACAUGAGGUCCCGGCGAGAAGGACCUGCUUCCAUCAGAUUCACACUUGGGAGAGGGGCCCGGCCUCCAGGAGCGCCAGGCAGAAAGGGCACCCAUUAGGAAGAAGAACACAGAGGCCAUGGGAGUGAAAAGUUUGAUGCUGGAAAGCAACAGUAGCACAUUCUGCUACAGAGCGGAAUGAAAAACCCUGGGGAGCAAAUUCCUGAGCCAGAGAAUGGAGCGGAGGAACCAGCCAAGGAGGAUAAAGAGGUGGGAACAGGCAAGAAAACCUGGACUUAGCCUAGAAAAUAAUGAAGAAGGACAGAAAGAGAAUACCAUUCUACUACACCCGCUGAUGACUUAAAACCUGCGUGCUCUGAGGCUGCCCGACCCUGAGCUCCAGAACAGACCAUCGAGUUCAGGAGACAAGCAUGUCAGCCAUGACACAAGGCAGAUGAGAGGGACCCCCAGCGUCCACACGUGGAGGCAGCGGGGGCAGCCGUGACUUCCUUCUGCAGUGUUGAUUCAGCUCCCUUUGAAGAUCCAUACAAACAGGCUGACCAUCAGGGCUGGUCCCAGGCCACCAGGCUGGGUGCAAUGCAGAAAUGGAGAUCUGCCCCGGGGAAGGCAGGUGAGUGUAGGAAGGAGGGAGGGCUGCGAGAAGCUGGGGGCAGCCUCCAUCCCCCUGUGGCCUGGGUGGGCCUGUGCCCCCCCAACCCCCCGACGCAGCUUCCCACACUGGGAGCACAGUUCCUCCCUCCUCUGCCUUCCUCUGCGUGGUGUGGCUCCUCCUUGAGGGAGAGAGCUGAGGAGGUGGCAUUCUUGCUUCCCUGACUCACCCAAAGGAAGAUUUCACAGCCCCUGGCAAGGGCUGCCAGACAGGCUCACCUGUCACCCCCUGUCCAGGGACAGACUGACCGGUAGCCUUGGCUGGGUGGGGAGUUAUGCUGGGAAGUCUUCCAGGCCCCCUGGGGGUGGGAAGAUGCUCAAUGUUCAAAGGAGAUGGAACGAGGAAAACAGUUAAGCAACGAUGGACUCCAGGGGGAAAACCGGAGAAGAAGAAACUGUAAUUCCAGUCCGUCCACAUGGCCCAGCAGUGAACGACAAUUGCAUGGUCAGAGAGAGCAAAAGCACCACGCCGACUGAAAGCAGCUCGAAUGUGGUGGGGCAGUGGGAGAUAAUGCCCUCAUCUACCAAAACAAGAUCUGCCACCUUCGCAGACCACUAAACCUCAUUCCUCCACCCACCUCCCCACCCCCAUGAAGGCCAACUGACCAGAGAGCAGGGCUCCCGAGGGUCGGGUCGGGUCGGGUCGGGUUGGGUCGGGUGGGUGCCUCUUAC
rnacentral:lncRNA from 1 species